AUGGAGAGUGCAUGCUUUGGAUUCAAGACUGGGAAUGAGGGACCAGAAACCUGUUCUGUGGCUGUUUGUUGUUAGGACUUUCCUAAGCCUCUGGAAAAGUGCAAAGUACAAUUAACAUUUGAGUCUGUCUGAGUCAUGAAGAAAUGGAGAUUACUGAAAAUAAUUCAUUUUGGUAUCGUCUUACAUCCUGAGAGACUAAUCUUUCCAAGUUCAUCUGAGGCUCCUCUUCUCCAUGACAACCUCAUCCAGGGAUUUCUUCCUGUCCUGGUGUUUUAUGACAUAAUCACAUCCUUCCUGAGAUAAUGAGCACACAAUUGCCUGGAUACCUGAAGGAAUGGAGACAGUGGCAGAAAACACUGCAGAGAGGUGGAAACAUCCGUUAAUAUUUUAAAUCCAUUACUGCUACCAACAAUAAUAACAGAUGCAUAGAAAUAGAUCUGGAUUAGCUGAGCUUGAAACAGUCCAUCUCACACACACCAAAAGAAUCAGAUACAGUGAACCCACAUGUUGAAGCUUUCUAGUAUAAUAAAAAUUUCAACUGUUCUGUUGAAUCAUCUGUCCUGAUUGGAGCUACAGAAAAGUUCAUCUUAGGAGUGCUUGCUCUGAGUGAGGCUCGUCUUCAAAUCUGAAUGACCACAAGGAGAUUUGAUUAUACAUGUGAACACCUCAGAAGGCACAGCCCGCCCAGAAGGCAGACAG
rnacentral:lncRNA from 1 species